rnacentral:tRNA from 1 species
GCGGGGAUAGCUCAGUUGGGAGAGCGUCAGACUGAAGUCAAACUUCAUCAUUUAAUCUGAAGGCCGUGCGUUCAAUCCGCACUCACCGCA